rnacentral:rRNA from 1 species
UACGGGGGGGAGCAAGCGUUGUUCGGAUUUACUGGGCGUAAAGGGCGCGUAGGCGGCGUGACAAGUCACUUGUGAAAUCUCCGGGCUUAACUCGGAACGGUCAAGUGAUACUGUCGUGCUAGAGUACAGAAGGGGCAACUGGAAUUCUCGGUGUAGCGGUGAAAUGCGUAGAUAUCGAGAGGAACACCUGCGGCGAAGGCGGGUUGCUGGGCUGAUACUGACGCUGAGGCGCGAAAGCCAGGGGAGCAAACGGGG